GCUCCAGUAGUCCAAUGGUUAGGAUUCUUGCCUUCCAGUUAAGACUAAUGAAGAAUUAGCCUGGAAAAAUUGAGCAAGAGGUCCGUGUUCGAUUCACGGCUGGUGCA